AUUGUAAACUCCUGUCAUCCGGGAGAAAGACCUGACGAUUAAUAGUCGGCAGGGUUGAUAGUACCGGAAGAGGAAGGGACGGCUAACUUCGUGCCAGCAGCCGCGGUAAUACGAAGGUCCCGAGCGUUGUUCGGAAUCACUGGGCGUAAAGGGAGCGUAGGCGGCGUGGUAAGUCAGAUGUGAAAUCCCGGGGCUCAACCCCGGAACUGCAUCCGAUACUGCCGUGCUAGAGUUUUGGAGAGGUAGCUGGAAUUCACGGUGUAGCAGUGAAAUGCGUAGAUAUCGUGAGGAACACUCGUGGCGAAAGCGAGCUACUGGACAACAACUGACGCUGAGGCUCGAAGGCCAGGGUAGCGAAAGGGAUUAGAUACCCCUGUAGUCCUGGCAGUAAACGGUGUGCGCUUGGUGUGGCGGGAAUCGACCCCUGCCGUGCCGGAGCUAACGCGUUAAGCGCACCGCCUGGGAAGUACGGUCGCAAGACUAAAACUCAAAGAAAUUGACGGGGACCCGCACAAGCGGUGGAGUAUGUGGCUUAAUUCGAUGCAACGCGAAGAACCUUACCUAGGCUUGACAUGGAUUUCUAAGCACGUGAAAGCGUGUGACCCUUCGGGGGACUUCCACAGGUGCUGCAUGGCCGUCGUCAGCUCGUGUCGUGAGAUGUUGGGUUAAGUCCCGCAACGAGCGCAACCCUUGUGAAUAGUUGCCAGCACGUCAUGGUGGGAACUCUAUUCAGACUGCCCAGAUCAACUGGGAGGAAGGUGGGGACGACGUCAGGUCAGUAUGGCCCUUACGCCUAGGGGCUGCACACGUACUACAUGCCCAGUACAUGAGAACCGAGACCGCGAGGUGGAGGAAAUCUACAAAACUGGGCCCAGUUCGGAUUGGAGGCUGCAACUCGCCUCCAUGAAGUUGGGAAUCGCUAGUAA
rnacentral:rRNA from 1 species